ACACUCAAAUCUCAGGAAGGUAUUUUUGUUUGUAAGCUAAAUUUCAGGACCUGGUAUAUCAUACCUGAUAUAUAUACAGAGAGCAAUCUAACACAGCAAUCUCUCUUAAAAAAAAAAAAAAAAAAAAAUUAUUUUAACCCCAUCCAUGUUUAGUAAUCAAGGCCGGCUGUGAUUGGUCCAUCCUGAUCAGCGCUGAGAAAAGUAACACGGCACUCUGGCGCUUUUGGUUAAUCAGGAGUGAAUUUGCAACUGAAUAAAAACACUAUGCCAUUAAUGACAAAACAGUUUAAUUUUUCUGUCCUUAUACGCUUAGAAAAUAUAUAUUUUUAAUUUAAUACAUUUAAGAAAUACGCAAAUAAAUUUCCAAAAAUUCAAAUAUUAAAAAAAUGAUUAAUUCAGCAGUCAUCGACGGCUGUGAUUGGUCCAUUCUGAUCAGCGCUGAGAAAAGUAACACGUAGUACGCCACGCACGGCGCUUAGCGCUCUUGCUUAAUCAGAAAACAAUAAUUGCAGCUAAGCAAAAAAACUGUAAUUGUGUAUAUAUAUUGAUUUAAACCGCGAGGUGAACAUUACAAAACUGAAACAUUUUUAUCUAGAUAUUUGCAACAAGUUUGUGUCGCUAAGCCCCGCCCAUCUGUUUCUGUGGUUUAGGAGUUGAGACUGAAGUCGGUCAGUCAGCGCUGCUGCAUAUGACCUGAUCAUACCGAGCUCUCCGAGGAAAAUAAUACACGCAUAAAUGUCUGCGAGGUGCGAAUGAACUGCAACCUCCUCAAAUAACGAGGAACUCAGUCGGGAUCCAUCUGUCUUGAAUUGGAGGACAAAUCCCAGACCUGGAUGUGAGGGUCAGAUUUCAGUGAGCGCGUUUUAUCAGCUGUGGGAACAAAAGCUCUCCAGAUGGACUUUGACUCGUGUUUUGUAUCAAAUGGACGUUUACAUGCCAGCACACUUCAUCUGUGUACAGUGCACUGAGGAAUAAUGUGGAUUUAAUCCUGCGGGACUUCACUGGCUCUGAUCUCUGAUCCUGAUGCUCUUAUUAAAGACUCUCCACUCCGUUACAAUCAAAUUAGUUCAAGAUUAAUGAAGACGUUUGA
ensembl:lncRNA